GCUUGUCUAGCUUAGUUGGUAAAAUAUAAGGCUUUUAACCUUGUGGUUGUGAGUUCAAGCCUCACGGUGGGUG
rfam:Zea mays cultivar B73 chromosome 9, whole genome shotgun sequence.